rnacentral:rRNA from 1 species
UACGGAGGAAGCUAGCGUUAUUCGGAAUUAUUGGGCGUAAAGGGCGCGUAGGCGGCCUGGCAAGUGGAAGGUGAAAUCCCUCGGCUUAACCGAGGAACUGCCCUCCAAACUGCUUGGCUUGAGUCCGGGAGAGGUGAGUGGAAUUCCCAGUGUAGCGGUGAAAUGCGUAGAUAUUGGGAGGAACACCAGUGGCGAAGGCGGCUCACUGGACCGGAACUGACGCUGAGGCGCGAAAGCGUGGGGAGCAAACGGG